GCAAAACUAACUUCAACUCCAUCGCCAAGAUCUUGGCCCAGCAGACAGGCCGUAGGAUCUCCAUCGGGGCUGGCCCAUGCCUAGGCGCCUGCACCCUUUCCAUGAAGGGGCCUGCUUGUUCACUAGGGAUGACCGGGAGCUCACCACCUCUUAUGGCAGCCCAUUCUUCUGUGCUCCUACUGUUGGAAAUUCCUGGAGUCUCCUUCCUGGCAUUCUCCGAGAUUGCCACCCAGCCAGGCCAGCCCUUCAGAGACGUGGUCACAACCCUGGGGCCUGCUCUUCUCUGGCAGAGUGGCCCCAGGUUCUUCAUCUGGGCCUCCUAGGUGCUGACGGUGGAUGCUCGUAACCACGGUGACAGCCCCCACAGCCCAGACAUGAGCUACGAGAUCAUGAGCCAGGACCUGCAGGACCUU
rnacentral:sRNA from 1 species